rnacentral:rRNA from 1 species
GGCUAACUACGUGCCAGCAGCCGCGGUAAUACGUAGGGCGCAAGCGUUGUCCGGGAAUUAUUGGGCGUAAAGAGCUUGUAGGUGGCUUGUCGCGUCUGCCGUGAAAACCCGAGGCUCAACCUCGGGCGUGCGGUGGGUACGGGCAGGCUAGAGUGUGGUAGGGGAGACUGGAACUCCUGGUGUAGCGGUGAUAUGCGCAGAUAUCAGGAAGAACACCGAUGGCGAAGGCAGGUCUCUGGGCCAUUACUGACACUGAGAAGCGAAAGCAUGGGGAGCGAACAGGAUUAGAUACCCUGGUAGUCCAUGCCGUAAACGUUGGGCACUAGGUGUGGGGAACAUUCCACGUUUUCCGCGCCGUAGCUAACGCAUUAAGUGCCCCGCCUGGGGAGUACGGCCGCAAGGCUAAAACUCAAAGGAAUUGACGGGGGCCCGCACAAGCGGCGGAGCAUGCGGAUUAAUUCGAUGCAACGCGAAGAACCUUACCAAGGCUUGACAUGCACCGGACGACUCCAGAGAUGGGGUUUUCUUCGGACUGGUGCACAGGUGGUGCAUGGUUGUCGUCAGCUCGUGUCGUGAGAUGUUGGGUUAAGUCCCGCAACGAGCGCAACCCUCGUUCCAUGUUGCCAGCGCGUUAUGGCGGGGACUCAUGGGAGACUGCCGGGGUCAACUCGGAGGAAGGUGGGGACGACGUCAAAUCAUCAUGCCCCUUAUGUCUUGGGCUUCACGCAUGCUACAAUGGCCGGUACAAUGGGUUGCGAAACUGUGAGGUGGAGCGAAUCCCAAAAAGCCGGUCUCAGUUCGGAUUGGGGUCUGCAACUCGACCCCAUGAAGUCGGAGUCGCUAGUAAUCGCAGAUCAGCAACGCUGCGGUGAAUACGUUCCCGGGCCUUGCACUCACCGCCCG